AAGCUAAGCCAAAAUUCCAGGCAACUCCUAAGGGUCAUGGAAACAAGAUCAUCCCACGAUCGAAAAGGAGAUCCUCCCAUGAUCUCAUCCAUGGCUGCCUCUUCCCGUCAGCGGCAUGCCUGCAGUUCUCCGUCGCGUCACUAUCCCAUCCACGACCAUGGCGAUAUCAUCCACCGCCGCAUCUUCCGGUGAACCGCAUCACUGCCGCCUCUUCUUUCUCUUGGUGUCCAGCCGCUCAAGUACGCUUCCUUGCCGUCCACACAUUCUCAGGUCAGACCGCGACUUCUGUGACAGAUUAGAGUACAGGGGGACGGGCGACAUUGAAGGAUGAAUAUGAAACGCGAGCGAAGCUUCAGUUCAAAAUCACUAGAGAAACUUCAGUUCAAAAUCACGAGAGAAUAUUUAGCAUGUUCAACCUGGCAAUAAAUACGCGAUGCACAUGCCCUGCAUGAUGAGAUAUACCUGGAGCUGAGCUUCUCUCCUAUGGCCAUCAAUGGGCCAGACCAAUCUGGGGAUGUCGCAACAAAGUGUUGAGCAUAGGAGGCUUGGCAGGGUUUUGGACAUGUACAUUCGAACAUUGUUGUACAAACAAUAACAGUUUGUAAACAUCCAAGUCUUAGUACAUAUUACUCUACUUGAUAUUUUUGUUUCAUACAUUUUACUUGCUCGGUUUGUAUGUGUGAGCGAAGUAACUAUUGUCGUCUGGACUGUGGGCAGUGGGAGAGCUAGCUUGCAAAUCUCAGCCAUGGUCCAUGAGGGGAAGGUAAGUAGAAGAUUAACAAAAGGUAAACAUACUGUCGGCAUAUGACCAAAUGCACGAUACUUAAAGCAAGACUGAUGAACUAGAAAGUAUGUUGCGGAACUGAAACUAACUAUACAAUCAGCAAUCCUAGCUUCGUUUCUAUGUGUGAACAAGUAGUUGUUGUGGCCUGGACAGAGGACAUGGGAGAGCUAGAUUACAAAUCUGAGCCAUGGUCCAUGAGAGGAAGGUAAGUGGAUGAUUCACCAACGUAGACAUCCACCAUGUGUGUGCCCCGAAAGCAGCAGAAGUUCGGCCCCAACCCCAUCAACUUGAUCAUCGAUGUGCUCAACACAGGUAUGUGAUAAUCCAAGCCCUAUGCACCUUCUCUAUCCUAUUCCAAUCAUCGUCAACCAGUCUGAUUCCUUCCUGUGUUCUGUUGGGCGGCGAUGAAGUCUGGGUAUUUGAAGAAUUUUUUUCUUUUGCUGAAUUUUCAACCGCAGUGGAUGCGUACAUUGAUUUUAUAUCAUAAGAAUUAUCAUGUUCUUGGCUCUAUCAACUUGCAAGAAAAAAAUGUUAUGCAUGGCAGACAUGUGUAUCAAUCUUGGUGUUCUGCUUCUACUAUUUGCAUACAAGCAGCUAUGUAUGUGACCUAACUCAUGUGCUACUUACAGAAAAUGAUUUUUAUCUCAGGAAGAUAGAAGUCAUUCUCUUGAACAAGACACCAUUCAGGUAGCCAGUAUAUUUACACUAAAUUCCCUUCCAUGUUGCUACUUGCAUACCAAAGGUUGAAGAUCAGCUCAUAAGCAGCAUCCAUAUCAGAAAGUAAUGCUGAAUUUCUUCUAGGGUGUACUAGAUUUUCUCAAAAGCUUUGCAAUGAUGGAUGAUAAGGAGCUGUUUAUGUGCAUUUAAUGUUGCAAUGACCUAUGUUCUGAAAUAGAUAUAGCUUAAAAUCUGAGACCUGCCAUAAGAAAUAAUCCAAGGUAUGAACAGUUCAUUCAGUACAACAGCAGAGCCGCCAAUGUUUUAUUACUGAGAGCGGGAUUUAAUUAACUGAUGGAUGCAGUCACAUAUUAUAUCUGAAGUUAUUUCUUUUUAGGUGUAUAUUUCAAGUUAUCCUGAGAGUUCAUGUUUGAUGCUGACCAAGGAGUUUGCUCUCUCAAAGUAUAGUAUACUCAUGUAGGCUGUUUUUAUAUGUUGCUCUUGCAUAAUGAGCUGUAUGCAUCCUCUCUUUGCCAACGUUAGCUAGGCUCCAUGAGGGUGUCUUUAUAUGUUAGGAUUCUGAUUACUAAGAACCAUCAUACAGUUGCACUUAUAUUAAUGUAUGGUCCAUGGUAUGAGCGCAUCCUAUCUUUAUAUUGAAUUACUUAGAUUUUAUAUAAAUAUACAACCUUUCUCUGAGGUGAUGUAGGAAAUUUUGCAACUGAUACUAAAAUAUGGUUACUUUUUUUCCACUUAGGACACUGGCGUUUUUGUGGAGCUACAGGCCGCUUCUAAGUCAAACUUGGUUAUGUUUGACCAACUAUAUAGGAAAAUGUGAUAAGAUCUAAUACAAUCCCAAAUACCCAUAAUACAAAAAUACAUUUCAUAAUAGAUAUCAUGAGACUAAUUUGGUGUUCAAGAUGAUUAUAUAUUUUUCCUGACCAUUAAUGUUAAAUAUUGAUGGUCAAGAUUUAAGGAUGUAAGGUUACAUGCAAACAUUGUAAUGAACAAAGAGUGCAACACGUGACGUACAAAUAGAAUGGGAUAUAUUCCCGUCUGAGUGGAUGCGAUGUACCAGUCCAGAGCAAUCCCGCUCACACACGUUCAUACAAAGCAAGUUGUGCAAUCCGUUUUGUAUAGCCGCGUAGGCAUCCAAAAUUACAAACGGUUACAUCAUCGCCCGUGUCAUCAAUCAUUAAUUGAUUUAAUCCGUUCGCUUCUUAAAGAUUAUUAGUAAGUACAGUACAUUUUUCUACCUAGAAAUUAGGUAAGUACUUGAUAAAAUCAUUUUGUGUUUUUAGGAGAAAACUAUAUAUUACAUAAAAAGAGUAUGCAUACAUAUCAAGAUUAAAAUAAAAAAUCCUAUAUUUGCUUCCUCGAAAAUAGAUUUUCAUAUAUGUACUUCAUAAAUUUCAUAAAUAGAUGAAUUUUCGAGUAGUCAUAUUAAAUUUAUUAUUUCGACUAGGUCAAAGAUGAGCGGAGAUAUAGUUAAAUUAUCGAUCAUUGACAAUAUUUCACUAUUACCGCGUGCCAGUAACCAACAAUGGAAUGAUCUAUGGACGAAAUAAAAUGUCCAAUAUAUGCACUACAUCUGUUACCUAAGAGGAAAAGAAAUAGCAAUUCCAAUAUGGUACAGUCGUGAGUGGUGUAUAGCAUACAAAAGAAUUAAAAUGAUGUUGCAGCUAUGAUGGUACAUGCUGAAAUUAAGCAAUAUAAAUGUCGAGAAUGUUAUUCCGUUAUUAUGUCUUAGCUUAUAGUCACAUGAGAUUUGCGCAAAUAAAAAAUACAAUAUACCAAAAUACACGAUAUCUAGAAGGUUAGGUGAUUUGAGUUUCAUAUUUCCUCAACGGUCCAGUUGUGGUACCACCAAGUACUCAUAAUUCAUCAACAGUUUGUAGGGAGUGGUUACUUUUUAAGUGACUUAAAAAUAGUUAUUAUAUCUGAGUCAACAUUUAUAGCCCUUUGACGAGGAUAUUCACAACUCUUUUAUAUAACAGAUAU